UGAACCGAACGUGUAGACUGUGUCGAUAAUAGUUCUCCUGUAAAGUCAAAUUAAAAGUACAAUAUUAUACCAGUCGUUGUUGACUUUGUGUGUGCGGGUGAGCUGUUCACAUAAAACAUGGACUUGUCCAUGGAGGGUUCAGUAGAAGACCAACUGUUUUAGUGACAGCUGUUUGGAAGGGAUGUGUUACCAAAGACUGUUGAGUGGAAGAGGGUUAAACUUCUAGAAUGAUAUAGACAUUCUCAAAGCAUUCACUUUCUUCAAGUACAUUCCAUAUUGUUCAUUCCAUUUACUGUUGCAUAUAUAAAAGUAUUUAUUUAAUAAUUAACAUUCCCUAUUGACAUUCCUUGUAUUUAUUCAGAAGCAAUCAUGACAGACUUGUUUCAACAGUUUGGUGGUGCUCUCAAUGAUUUUAAAAUUCGAAACAUUGAUUCGGAUAGUUUGCACGAGAUCAUUGGUGAGUUUGCACCAUUGAUAGGUGUGGCAAUAGAUCAUGCCAAGGAUAAAACCUCUAAUCUAAGUAAAGAUCCACCUGUAACUGUGAAACAAGAGCCAUUGGAAGAGAUUGAAGAUAAAAGCACCUCUAAUCUAGGUAAAGACCCGACUGUAACUGUGAAACAAGAGCCAUUGGAAGAGAUUGAAGCUAAUAGCACAAGCAACGCUCAAUACGGUCAGAUACCCAGAAGGUCACGAAGUACUGGAAAUAAGUAUGAUGUCUUCAAUUUGAAAGAUGAUGUUGGGAAUGGUAUUAAAGUUGAGCAGUCAUAUGCGAUGGACUUGUCUGUCCAGCCUGCUAUCGAAAUCAAAGUAGAAGUUUGUGAAAAUAGUGACACUGAAUCACCGUUGCCUGAUUCUCUGUCAAGAAAAAGACUGCACUCUGACAGUAUUACAAAUGGUUACAGUAGCUCUGAUAAUGAAUCAUUAAUGAAACGUAUAAAAACUGAAAGCAACGAUACACUGUUCAUUGUAAAUGCAGAAAAUGAGAAACUCGUGCAGACUCUAAAAAUACCAAACCUCCAAAAUAUUAACAGUACCUCACCAAACACCAAACAGGAACCUCAGACAGAGUCCAAUGCUGAUGUUAAUAGUCAAGAUGACUCUGACGGCCCACAUUAUCUCUACGCUAUAACCUCCUCAAAAAAUGGUAAAUUUUACAAGUGUCUUAUCUGUCAACGUCUCUGUGACACAAAAUACCAUGUGAAACGUCAUAUUUUGUCCCAUGGAGGAAGUUUGAAACCUUUCCAAUGCGAUCAGUGUGACAAGUCCUUCUCUCAGAAAUGCGAUCUCAACCGCCAUCUGAAUGUACACAACACCGCUAGAAACUUCACGUGCUCAGUUUGCGGAAAGUCAUUCAAACGUAGCGACUACCUUGCUAAGCAUGAGCGCCAGUACUGUGGAGUUCUCAAGCCGUUCAAAUGUCAGAAAUGUCACAAGGGGUUUGAGGACGAGAAUCAGGUGCGUGUGCACACCUGCAUGGAUAAGAAUAAUGCAACACUGUUUGCCUGUGAGAAUUGCCCAGAAACAUUCAACACAGUCGACGCCCUGGUGGAGCAUAGAAAGGCGCACAUGAAGGUUGAGACAGAUUUCCAGUGCUCUAAGUGUGGCAAGAAAUUCACUGAGUUCAUGGCGUAUGUGGACCACUUUAAGAAUCACAGUGGCGAGCGCCCGUACAGGUGUGACUUGUGUCAGAAGGUGUUCUCCCGCAAUCACAACCUGAUGACCCACAUGCUGAUCCACAGCCAGGAGAAGAAACACACCUGCCAGAUCUGUGCCAAGGCUUUCACCUACUACAGUAACCUUCAGGUUCAUCUGCGGGUCCACCGUAAUGAGCGCCCGUACAUCUGCAAGAUAUGUGACAAGGGCUUCCUGACGAGUAGUGACCUGCGACGUCACCAGCGCGUCCACAGCGGGGAGAAACCGUACAAGUGCAAGCACUGCAAGGCGGAGUACGCGCGCAAAGAGCGCCUCAUCAGUCAUCUUGUGAUCCACAUAGAGGAGGGCAUGCUGGCCCGCGGGGAGCUUGGUGGCGAUGGUGGGCUGGACUCGAGCAUGGUGGUGGAUGACACGUCCAAGGACAGCCUGGUCAUUGAGAGUGAUACAUCUGAUGAAUGAUAUUUAAAUAUAUCCUCAUUCUGGAAAACAGGGCUUAAUGCAUGUGCGUAAAGUGUUGUCCACCAUAAAAGCGGAAAGUGUCACACCUGAUUAGCUUGUGCAGACUACACUGGCUGAUCUGGGGUCACACUUUACACUCACAGUGUCACACCUGAUUAGCUUGUGCAGACUACACUGGCUGAUCUGGGGUCACACUUUACACCCACAGUGUCACACCUGAUUAGCUUGUGCAGACUACACUGGCUGAUCUGGGGUCACACUUUACACUCACAGUGUCACACCUGUGUAGCUUGUGCAGACUACACCGGCUGAUCUGGGGUCACACUUUACACUCACAAAUUUAGCCCUGUUUUCCCAGAGUGUUGCUAUAAACAUCUGACAGUUUUUUUAAUUUAAUUAAAUUGAACACACAAAGCUGUUCAGGAGUAUUUAAAUGUAGUCAUUUUAAACUUUAAUUGCACCGUAGUCAUUUUUAGAAAAUGCUCAUUGAAUUGUGCUUGUGAAAAUCAAAUGAAUUUAUUGUGUUUUUUUUAAAUUGUGAAGGAGAAAAAUCUGUUGAUUCUUGAACAGAUUAAAUGCGAGUAAGACAAAAUUGAAUUUGCAACAGACCAAAGGAUCUUCAUAGUUUUAAGAAAUUUGUUAAAAUUUCACUUAGUUCAUAUGUGACCUAUAGUGUUAUUUUCUUCAUUCUUUGACCUGUUUCCUCAUUUCAAAGAACAGGCAUUAAGUUAUCACAAUUAUGUUAAAUUCAGACUGAUGACUGAUUCUUUAUAGAAUUGAAAAGAUGGGAAGUGUGUGAUUUUUUUGGGGAUUUAAAUUAUUUUGUAAAGACAAUAUUUUUCAUUAGUCAAGGUUCAGUAUUUUUGGUCUCUUAAUUGCAUUCAUUUCUAAACACCUGUUGUGUUUUUCUUUGAAAUAACAUUACUUACAAAAUAUUUAUGUUAUUUACAAUUGUGUUACAUUCCAGUAGAAAGCAUUUAUUGUACAUUUUAUUUUACUUAUUGUACAUUCCAUAAAGUUAUUUGUGUUUUACUUUCUUUUAUGUUAUAUAAUGUGAGAAGUGUGUGUUUGUUAUCACCUUUUACAUGUUGUUCAUUGUACAUUCCAUUUUAUUGACAUGGAUUAUUGUAUAGAAUGUUGUCCUUGUCUUUUGUUAAAUAUGUAGCUAUGUUACUCAAGUAUUAACUGUUUAUAACAAUUCAAGUUUUACUGGCUAGUGUAAUUCAGCAUUAGACACUUUCUGAUGUUUUGUUAUUUUUUAUAAACCAUUCCAUAUUUCUUUUAUUUACAAUACUUACUUUAUACAUGUUAAAUGCUCAACUCUUUACUUUGCACGACUUAGAACACAUGUGUUGCUAUAUUGAAUAAAGAUGAAUUAUACAAAGUUAAUAAAAUAACAAAAAAUAAUCAUGUGAAUUACCAAAAAUGUGUUUUACGCCUGUUAAAAUGUUGACAAUCAUGAUGAACUGGCCUGGAUAUCACAAAUAUUCUUUAGUCUGUUGCAAGAGGGUUAGCUUAUACUCACUGUUUGAAAAUUUAACUUAAUUGAACCAAUUCAUCAUUGUAAAAAUAUUAUAAGCUUUAGAUGACACUUUUACAAAAAAUACAGCAGAUAAAUGCCUUUUCAUACAACAACAUAAACUUAAAAAUAAAAAUAUGACUCCAUAAAAUAUAAGACUUAAGUCAGUUAUUCUUAAAACAGACAAAAUUUUUUUGAGAAGUUGCGGCCUGAAUUUAUACCAAAAAAAAGGUUCUGUCAAAAUUUCUGUUGGACAUUUUAUUAAUAGUAACGUAAGAAAUUCUGCUGAUGCAGUUUCAUUCUUUGGGGCCAUGCUCUGUGAAAAAGGGGUUUAAUACAUGUUGGUAAAGUGUUGUCCCAGAUUAGCCUGUGCAGUCCACUAUUAUUAUAUUUUUUGUUUCAAGAAAGUCUUUUCUUAGCAGAAAGCAAGUAUAGGGGCAGGCUAAUCAGGGACGACACGUUAAGCACAUGCAGCAAACCCCCUUUUCACAGAGCACUGCCAAUUUAUUUCCAGCUAGUCAUCUAUUUAAGAUGUUUUAGUUUUUGUUUUGUUUUCAUUUCUUGUUUAUAAACAAUUAGAUUUGAGUGGCGCUUUGUGAAAAGGGGGAUUAAUGCAUGUGCGUAAAGUGUCGUCCCAGAUUAGCCUGUGCAAUCUGCACAUUCUAAUCAGGGACGACACUUUCCGCCUAAAAUUAUUUUAUUUAAAAAGAGACUUUCUUGAAACAAAAUAUAUCAUAAAAGCGGAAAGUGUUAUCCCAGAUUAGCCUUUGCCGACUGCUUUUAACACAUGCAUUAAACCCCCUUUUUACAGAGUGUGGCUUAUUUAAAUGUGUUGUGACAUUAUCUUAGAAAAACUUAAAUUAAAACCCUUAGGUAGCUCUUGUUUAUACAAAAACUGUCAUGGAAUUUUCCGUAGAAAAGUCUUGAAAACUAAAAGAAAUAAUGAUGUGCAAUAUACAUGGUUAGAAACAAACAAACUUUGUUACUUCAAUAUUUUAGUUAUGUGUAACUGUAGUUAUAUAUUAUGUAAGCACAAAACCUUUUAACUCUUUCAGUGCGGGAACCGAAUUUUGAAAGCCUUUGCAAACAGUUUGGAUCCAGAUGAGACGCCACAGAACGUGGCGUCUCAUCAGGAUCCAAACUGUUUGCUAUUCUGAUAGUAUUCUUUGAAAAAAAAUCGAAGAAAAUGCUUAUUUUAGUAAUUCAGCAGAUGACAUUUUAGCAGACGACAAAUUUCCCAGCAUGCAAAGGGUUAAACAUACUGCAAAUGAGUUAAUUUAUCCAUUAUUGAAUGCAGAUAUAAUAGUAAUUUCUAGAACAUUACCAGUAUAUCAUCAACAAGAGAUCCUAGAAGUUAUAUUUCUGCAUUUUGAGAACAUUUGAUGAGCAUUUGGGACCACCUUUUGUUCAUAGUCAUUUGUCUGCAAAGUGUUUAAUCAAUGACAUAAAGACCUUCCCUACUAGAUUCAAGUUUUUAAGGCUUCAUUUCCACCCUUAAAUACUCAUGAGCAGCAAACCGCAUCAAACCUGAACAGACUGUGAGUUACUCGCAGGCUGUUCUGGUUUUAUGCUGUUUGCACAUAGCUAUUUUCACGUUGCUUCUGAGUGGGAAAGGGUUGACCACAUGGCAGAUUUUUACAAAACAGGAAUAAUAUUGGGUGACCAUCUAUUAAAGUUGUUCGAAUCUUUCUGGUCACUGUAAAUGGAGGACAUCAGCGCACAGAACAGAGAUACAUGUAAUCAGUUUAACCGCAAGGUUCAUGGGUAAAUAUGUGGUACAUAAUAUUGUUUAGUUGUCCUGUGCUUUAAUAGUUUCUUAAAGUCUGGACCUGGGUUUUCAACAGGCCAAACCCCAGGGGUCACAUGAUUUAUUUAGACUAACACAAAAAUCAACUUAACAUUUUCUCAGAAACUGCAAGUGUCAGGGAUUCAAUAUUUGGUGUGUAACAUGGUGUGGUGGUCCUCAAUCAAGUUUGUUUACCGGUAAAGCAUGGCUUGGUGCGAUUCAGACCGGCCCCCAGGGUAACUUCUUUUCCAUUUAUGAAUUUAGUGACAACUUUUAACAUAUUUUUCUCUGACACUACAAAUUUCAGGGGUGUUCAGCAUUUAAGAUUGUAGGGUGGUCUUCAACCAAGUUUGAUAAAACUAUGCCCUUGGUGUCAAAUAGGCUCCAUUCAGCAGGAUAUUAUUUACCUUUGGUACGUUUUAAUUGUAACAUCCUUUUGCAGUCUUCUACCAAAUCUUGACUAUGUGGUCAAAAUGAGCCUACCUUGUUUACCUUAUUGUACAAAGUGUAAUCUUUAAAAAUACGCACUUAGUAAGAUCACUUUAGUAUCACAAAAUGAACUCUUGUGGCUUUUGUUUUAUCUGCUUUGAUUAAUGAUAAAUUAUAUUCUGUAAACAAAACAUAAUUUUUUUUUUUUUUGCUUUUUUAAAUUACAUUUGUAUUGUAUAGAUAAGCUCUUCGGGGGCUAAACCAGGUUUAAUGCAUGCAUACAGUAUUGUAAAAGGUUAGCUUGUGCGUGCUUAUCAAGAAAGACACUAACCACUUUUAUGGAAUUAUUCAUUGCUAAAUGAAAAUUCAAAUUGUCGUCCCUGAUAAGCCUAUGCAGAAUUUUAUCAUUCAGUUACAUGAAAUCCACCUUACAAUAAAAUUUGCAGAGUUGGUUGUUGUUUUUGUUUGACUUUCUCCAUAUGUCCAGGCAUGAUUGUGGUAUUGUUUUGUUAGUUAUGCAUUUAAUUUACAUUUUUAGUUGAUUUUUAUUGUUUUUAUUGUCAAUAAAUACUGUGUUUAAUGUUGUGAAAUGUGUUCAUUCAUUUGGUGUUAGAAAAAAAAACAAGCAUUUAUAAUAAUAUAUUUGUUGUCAAUUGUAA